AGGACGAACGCUGGCGGCGUGCUUAACACAUGCAAGUCGAGCGGAAAGGCCCUUCGGGGUACUCGAGCGGCGAACGGGUGAGUAACACGUGAGUAAUCUGCCCCUAGCUCUGGGAUAGCUCCGGGAAACCGGGAUUAAUACCGGAUACGACCACCUUAGACACCUUUUGUGGUGGAAAGAAUUUCGGCUAGGGAUGAGCUCGCGGCCUAUCAGCUUGUUGGUGGGGUAACGGCCUACCAAGGCGACGACGGGUAGCCGGCCUGAGAGGGCGACCGGCCACACUGGGACUGAGACACGGCCCAGACUCCUACGGGAGGCAGCAGUGGGGAAUAUUGCGCAAUGGGCGAAAGCCUGACGCAGCGACGCCGCGUGGGGGAUGAAGGCCUUCGGGUUGUAAACCCUUUCAGCAGGGACGAAGCGAAAGUGACGGUACCUGCAGAAGAAGCGCCGGCUAACUACGCGCCAGCAGCCGC
rnacentral:rRNA from 1 species